UACCCGCUGGAAUUAAGCAUAUCAAUAAGCGGAGGAAAAGAAACCAACCGGGAUUGCCUCAGUAACGGCGAGUGAAGCGGCAAGAGCUCAAAUUUGAAAGCUGGCUCCUUCGGGGUCCGCAUUGUAAUUUGCAGAGGAUGCUUCGGGUGCGGCCCCUGUCUAAGUGCCCUGGAACGGGCCGUCAGAGAGGGUGAGAAUCCCGUCUGGGAUGGGGUGUCCGCGCCCGUGUGAAGCUCCUUCGACGAGUCGAGUUGUUUGGGAAUGCAGCUCUAAAUGGGUGGUAAAUUUCAUCUAAAGCUAAAUACUGGCCGGAGACCGAUAGCGCACAAGUAGAGUGAUCGAAAGAUGAAAAGCACUUUGAAAAGAGAGUUAAAAAGCACGUGAAAUUGUUGAAAGGGAAGCGCUUGCGACCAGACUCGCCUCCAGGGUUCAGCCGGCAUUCGUGCCGGUGUACUUCCCUGGGGGCGGGCCAGCGUCGGUUUGGGCGGCCGGUCAAAGGCUCCCGGAAUGUAGUGCCCUCCGGGGCACCUUAUAGCCGGGAGUGCAAUGCGGCCAGCCUGGACCGAGGAACGCGCUUCGGCACGGACGCUGGCAUAAUGGUCGUAAACGACCCGUCUUGAACCACGGACCA
rnacentral:rRNA from 1 species